CAGUGCAUGACAAGAGCUUGAUGAUGCAACCAUCGGGCUGUUCUUCGACGGUGACAACGAGCACCGGACAAACUUCGAAGGCGAAGAACUUGAGCUUGUGGACGUAGCACUUGAAGGUAUUGUCGUCCACUCUCUCGAUACUCAUUCCUUUGAGCUCCUCUCGAAGAAAUCGGUGCUGCAAGUGUGAUCCUGGGUUCGAGAAGAGCGAUCUGGAGGCUGACCUCCUGGAGAACUAUUUCGCGGGCAAAGCCUUCCUGAUUUCCAAGAACGAUGAGAAGCCCGUCGAUAAUGUGGCCCUGUCAGGCUUCACGCCUUCCAGAUCAGACCUGGGACGCUUCCCCCUCGCGAUCCUUCCAGCGCCGUGACGAGCAUCGUCCAGAUUUUGUUGGAACUCGACCAUCGCGGCGCAGGGCAUCGGAUGAUGCGCCGCGCGCCACGACUGGAUCCAAUCCCUCGCGCUGGAGAAACACUUCGCAUUAGUUAGUAACGAAGAUCUGACGGCUGCGGAUGUUCCUGAUUGUAUCCGGUGUAAUAAAUUGCCAUCUGAAAUAGACAUGACCUAGGGUUACAACAGGAUGGAGGAGAUGGGGGAGAUGGGGGAGACGGCGAUGUAUGCGCGUACGACGAAGAUCUCUCCUGGAUGUGCGAUCAUGUUAUGUAAUUGGCGUCCUGUGAUUCCGGCGGUCAUAAAUCACAACAGCGGUUUGGAAGGUUUCGAUUCAGGUAUUAAAUCGUGGAUUCUCUUGGAUCCUGGCCAGAGGCGUCUUCGUCAUUAUACCAUCACAGGAGGAGGAGAAAAGAGGGCAAGAGAGGAGGCAGAAAAGAGUGAGGCUGGUGGAAAGAGGCCAAGAAUCAAGGUGCCAGCGGCAGGCAAGGCUCCAAGAAUUGAGGUGGCAGUAGAAAAGAGUGUCGAGGCACUAGCAUCGGCAAGCAAGACUCUUGACGAGUAGGUGUUGUUGCUUUCAGAUGGCUCUUUGCAUCUAUCAGGUGGGAUAGUGGAUAGAAAAGCAUCUGUGAUGUAACUGAUGGAUGCGAAGCAGUAUAUGUGGGACACUCUCCAGGGUCUUACCAAGCAACAGCUGCCAUGUCACUUCAUAGCACAGCAGGAGGCCGAAGGAGAGUUCUAAAGCCUCGUUAUUCAUCUGAAUUCACUGCAAAAACAAGUGAAUGAGAUUCAACCUUGUCUCCAAGUGCUAGAGGAUUGGAUAGGAUAUUCGAAGCCUGAACUCUACGAGGUACUGGGGAUCAAUCGGUUCACUGCAGCUGCUGAGAUUUUGGAUGUUGCGGCAAGCUUCCUUUCUUACUUCACAAGGGAAGCCAUACAGAAGUAGGGAGUUCUUGACGAGCUGGUGGACUACGGGCCUACAAGGCCUAGGAAGUUGAAGCCAUACAACUCCUAUGACAAAUCUGCCAUAACUUACAGAAGCUUGUGGUGGUUUGUUUUUAACAAGGAGGCGAGUGGGAAAUCUCUAAGUGAGGUAUGGCAUAAUUUUGAGAUUCAGGGAUAAGUACUUCCCCCUGAUUGGGAUCGGAAGCGAAGUUCAACACGCAAGGAAGGUAUGCAUGUCAUCUAUAAAUAGGUUAUUCAAGCCGUUGAGGAGGAGUUGGUCAAAGACAUAAGUUUUUGCCAACAGUAAUGCGACAUCAGGAAAUGUAUGGGGUUUUACUUGUCGUGCAUCAAUAGGAAGUCUAUUCAAGAGUGUCCAGGAUCCCCAUUGUGUGCACUCCAACGUUCUGCCUCGGCUUGAUGCAUGACAAGUAAAACCCUAUACAUUUCCUGAUGUCGCACUACUGUUAGCAGGAACUCAUGUUUUUGACCAGCUCCUCCUUAACAGCUUGGAUAACCCGUUUACAGAUGACAUGCAUACCUUCCUUGCAUGCUGAACUUCACUUCCGAUCCCAAUCAGGGGGAAGUACCUGUCUCUGAAUCUCAAAAUCAUGCCAUACCUCACUUAGAGAUUUCCCGUUCGCCUCCUUGUUGAAAAUAAACCACCACAAACUUUUGUAAGUUAUGGCAGGUUUGUCAUAGGAGCUGUAUGGCUUCAACUUCCUAAGUCCUGUAGGCCCGUAGUCCACCAGCUCGUCAAGAAUUCUUUGCUUCUAUAUAGCUUCCUUUGUGAAGUAAGAAAGGAAGCUUGCCGCAACGUUCAAAAUCUCAACAGCUGCAGUGAACUGAUUGAUCCCUAAUACCUCGUAGAGUCUAGGCUUCAAAUAUCUUAUCCAAUCCUCUAGCACUUGGAGACGAGGUUGAAUCUCAUUUAGCACUUGGAGAUGAGGUUAAAUCUCAUUCACCUAUUUUUGCAGUGAAUCCAGGCGAAUAACAAAGCUUUGGAACUCCUCCGGCCUCUUGCUGUGCUAUGAAGUGACCUGGCAGCUGUUACUUGGUAAGACCCUGGAGAGUGUCCCACAUAUACUACUUCGCAUCCAUCAGUUGCAUCACAUAUGCUUUCUUAUCCACUAUCUGAGGUGGAACACUAGAGUGCACACAAUGAGGAUCCUGGACACUCUUGAAUGGGCUUCCUCUUCCUCGACUACUGCAACCUUCUCAGUGGAUAGGUCGGACAUACAGUUGAAGAAGAUGGAGAUGUCAGAGCUCCAGCAUAAGAUUCAUGUCUUGUUCGAUAUUCAUGGUCAUGCUCACACUAUUCCGGAGUUCAAGUAUAUCGCUAACACUUUCUACCCUCUGCUUAACUGGUACGCAAUGAAGCUGGGGAUCAAAGUGUUUGAGAUCUACAGCAGGAACAAGUUGGUGGAUGAAGAUGCAAGUGUCACUUAUGAGUUUGUGGAGGGGAAGUGGAUGAGAGAUGGCCUUCAAGAUUAGCAUUGGUCUCUCCUAUCUUGGUACAGCAUGUGGGAGUGAGCGAUAGACUGUGUUGACUGAAAGUAAGUACUUGAUUCUUGAACGAACGUCUGUUGUUCUGACGAGUUUUUUGUGUUGUUGGACAAAGUGGAAGAAGUGUGGCAGCAAAUGGACCAAGAGCUUCGGCUCCCAGAAGGUUUCUUCGUCAUGACAAUUGAGUCUCUCGCGCUACUGGGACAAGUGACCAAAGCUGACCGCAAACGUCCAGGCUCGGCUCUUACAAGCACUGGCUCGUCACUUCGCCAAGCAAGGAAACAUGAAGAGAGUGGAGGAAAUGCUGGGCCUUGCCGAUAGAUACGAGCUGACACCAUCUUUCGGGAUUUACAACUAUCUCGUCACUGGGUACUUGGCCAGGAAGGACCCCCAGACGGCGGCCUCGAGGAUGAGAUUGGCGUUGAAAGUGGUGACCGAAGAGCGAGCAGUGCCAUCUUAUGCCGCUGUCACGGGAUUGCUUCCAUAUCUAGCAGUGGAGAAAGACGUGACGACUGCCGAGCAAAUGGUGCGGAGGUAUAGAGGCUGGACGGAUGACAACUUCCACAAGCUGCUGCUUAAUGUCUACGUAGAAGCUGGGAAAGGACCGUCUCCGGACAUAAAGUCGAGGUUCAGGCGCCUUCCCUGCGUUGGUCACGUUGAAGCCAGGCGGCUGGCUAUCAAGGCCUUCGCGUUAGAUCCAUAGCGAUUGCUGCGGUGACACUACGACUACUGGUAACUAUACCCGUCUCUCUUUUGCCGGCUGGUCCUGACUCUUUUGUUCAAAUCCAGGAGUACUUUUCUUCUCUUCGCGACGUCAAACGGACCUCCUCGUAGCUGCGGUUAUGCAAGUUCUUAUUGAGACGAAUGGCCGAGGUCUACAAAACCGAGCAAACCAGCUUGGCUUGGCUGAAGUGAUCAUCAUACAAGCGGCUGCCGAUAAGAUUUCAAGGAGAAGAGAGCUGUACAGGGAGCUAGAGCUGGCCCGUCCCGAGUGGACGUCUGGAUCUGUCCCCCGAGGCCCACGCACGGUAGUCCUUUUCAAGCUGCAAGGCAUCAAACACAGUUUUACGAAGAUGAGAGAAUCUGGACAGCACCUGGCUCAAAAAUCGAGGAAGCAUGACGCGCAGGACUUGGCCGAGCACUUGGUUCCCGGUCGAUUCUAUAGCUUGGACUGGAAUAGCUCGAAAGGCAAAAGGCACCUCUAUCGUCACCUGCGAGGAUAUAUCAUCAAGCCGGGACUUGCAGCGAGCAACUUUACCUCGAUGGUUGCAUCCGAGAUGAGCUUCCGGGACUUCGGUGAUCUGCCGCUGUUCUUCCACGACACUCUAUUCUCCAUGGACGCUGGAGCACAGCAGCCAGUUACUGACAGGGCCGGGGAGAAAGAACGAAGAUGCUACCAUCAUACCUGAGAACUUUUGGUUCUGCGCGACUACUAUUGGAGAACCUUCGAGCUGAUGAGGAUCGGGGUGUUUAGAAUUCGACCGUGGGGAGCAGCAGAGAGUCUACUUACAGUGCAUGACAAGAGCUUGAUGAUGCAACCAUCGGGCUGUUCUUCGACGGUGACAACGAGCACCGGACAAACUUCGAAGGCGAAGAACUUGAGCUUGUGGACGUAGCACUUGAAGGUAUUGUCGUCCACUCUCUCGAUACGCUGCGCAUCUAACACCGAGUACUGGCUUGCAGGAAGACUCAUAUACUCGGCUGGGAAGAACGAAGAACAAGAAGGAAAAAAAGAUGAGAGGCUUGCCAGGCAUGGACAUUCUUCGCCGAGUACCUAGAGGGCGAUGGGUCUCCUCGAGAAGGUAACUCUCGCUCGCUCGCCCGACUAACCUUGCCCGUGGCUCUGAUCUCCCGAGAUCGCCAGGGACGUCGACCGCUGCCGCGAUUCUCCCGUGCUGCCGCUGCCGCUUCCUCCUCCGCGAUGCAAAGCUUGGAGGACCCAGCUUGAGCGCUUCCAAUCCAGGCUUUUCGGGAGAAGACAAGGCAAUGUGAUGGUGGCUCCGAGACUCCAGGGAGGAGAAGAGGCUCCAGCACGCCAUGCCCUUCGUGGAUUUGCUGGAGAGUUCGAUACCUCUGAGAGUUUUAAUGGUAAAAAGUUAAAAGUUAAAAAGUAGAAAGGUUUAGGAUGAAUGUUUACCUUUUAGCAAAAUAGAAUUGUCCCUGGAAUAUUCUUGACGAAAACUGGGCUUAUAAACCCUAAAAUAUAUUUGCGCGAUGAUGGAAGAGCUCCAAUCGUGGCUGCGAAUUCACAUCGCCGUCCACGACCUUUGCGGCUUGCGCGGCUUCGAUCUUAGGGUUUUUGAGAGGCAAGGAGUUCCAGCAGCGAUCUUCUCUCGUCAGCGCCUUCAUCCGCGGCUAUCCACAGCGAUCUAGGACGAUCAACAAAAUGUAGGUGCGAACUAGCAAUCUAGGAUGAUCCACAGGAGGAUGG
rnacentral:lncRNA from 1 species